rnacentral:rRNA from 1 species
AGUGAACGCUGGCGGCAGGCCUAAUACAUGCAAGUCGAACGGCAGCACAGUGGAGCUUGCUCCAUGGGUGGCGAGUGGCGGACGGGUGAGGAGUACAUGGGAAUCUGCCCAGUCGUGGGGGAUAACGUAGGGAAACUUACGCUAAUACCGCAUGCGCCCUUCGGGGGAAAGCCGGGGACCUUCGGGCCUGGCGCGAUUGGAUGAGCCCAUGUUCGAUUAGCUAGUUGGCGGGGUAAAGGCCCACCAAGGCGACGAUCGAUAGCUGGUCUGAGAGGAUGAUCAGCCACACUGGGACUGAGACACGGCCCAGACUCCUACGGGAGGUAGCAGUAGGGAAUAUUGGACAAUGGGCGCAAGCCUGAUCCAGCCAUGCCGCGUGAGUGAAGAAGGCCCUCGGGUUGUAAAGCUCUUUUGUCCGGGAAGAAAAGCAUCGGGCUAAUACCUCGGUGUUCUGACGGUACCGGAAGAAUAAGCACCGGCUAACUUCGUG